GAUGAACGCUGGCGGCGGGCCUAACACAUGCAAGUCGAGCGAAAAGACGAGAAGCGCGCUCUUCUAACGGUAGCGGGGGACGGGCGAGUAACACAUGCAUAACAUACCUAUAAGACUGGGAUAAGAACGGGAGAAAAGUGCCACUAAUAGAGCAUAUAACCUACCGCUUGGAUCAAGAGUUCAAGAGGGUUUUGCUGAUACAUAGAGAUGAUGUCGCGUUGGAUUAGCUAGUUGGUAAGGUAACGGCAUACCAAGGCAACGAUGCGUAGCUGAGCUGAGAGGAUGAUCGGCCACACUGGAACUGAGACACGGUCCAGACUCCUACGGGAGGCAGCAGUGGGGAAUCUUCCACAAUGGGCGAAAGCCUGACCGAGCCAUGCCGCGUGGGUGAAGAAGGUCUUCGGGUCGUAAAGCUCUUUUAUUGGGGAAGAACAAAAGUAUGAGAAACUAUCGACGUUCUGACGGUACCUAAAGAAUAAGCACCGGCUAACUACGUG
rnacentral:rRNA from 1 species